AGUGAACGCUGGCGGUAGGCCUAACACAUGCAAGUCGAACGGCAGCACAGUAAUAGCUUGCUCUUACGGGUUGCGAGUGGCGGACGUGUGAGGAAUACAUCGGAAUCUACUUUUUCGGGGGGGAUAACGUAAGGAAACUUACGCUAAUACCGCAUACGACCUACGUGGGAAAGCAGGGGAUCUUCUGACCUUGCGCGAUUGAACUAGCCGAUGUCGGAUUAGCUAGUUGGCGGGAUAAAGGCCAACCAAGGCGACGAUACCUAGCUGGUCUGAGAGGAUGAUCAGCCACACUGGAACUGAGACACGGUCCAGACUCCUACGGGAGGCAGCAGUGGGGAAUAUUGGACAAUGGGCGCAAGCCUGAUCCAGCCAUACCGCGUGGGUGAAGAAGGCCUUCGGGUUGUAAAGCCCUUUUGUUGGGAAAGAAAAGCAGCAGGUUAAUACCCCGCUGUUCUGACGGUACCCAAAGAAUAAGCACCGGCUAACUUCGUG
rnacentral:rRNA from 1 species